rnacentral:rRNA from 1 species
GUACGCUCGCAAGAGUCAAACUCAAAGGAAUUGACGGGGACCCGCACAAGUAGCGGAGCAUGUGGUUUAAUUCGAAGCAACGCGAAGAUCAUUACCUAAGCUUGACAUCCCAAUGACAUCUCCUUAAUCGGAGAGUUCCCUUCGGGGACAUUGGUGACAGGUGGUGCAUGGUUGUCGUCAGCUCGUGUCGUGAGAUGUUGGGUUAAGUCCCGCAACG